rnacentral:tRNA from 1 species
GCAGUCGUGGCCGAGUGGUUAAGGCGAUCGACUAUAAAUUCAUUGGGAUCUCCCCGCACAGGUUCGAAUCCUGUCGACUGCG